GACAAGCCAAGAAAGAUCCUUAAAGGACACCCUUGAUGUCCAGCAUUAAAAUAAAGCAAAUUUUGAGAUUGAAAUCCUGGGAUAACAUUGACAACUGGAAUAGAAUAGCAUAUGUGAUCUUUACCAUCAGAUGUUGGGCAUUCUAUGGAUCCUCAGUUCUGUAUGUUAAUUCCCAGAGAAGUACCAUCUGAACAACCAAGUCAGAAUGGUAAGUGUUCAGUGUAGGCUUCCUCUCUCUUUCUCUGUCUCUCUCUGUCUCUCUGUCUCUGUCUCUGUCUCUCUCUGUCUCUCUGUCUCUGUCUCUGUCUCUCUCUCUCUCUGUCUCUCUCUUUCUCAGUGUUUGUGUGCACUCUAUUCUAGCACUGUGCCCCUUUUUUGCCUUAUAAGUGUGGUACAAUUUGAAAGAAUUCCAAAGUGCAGCCUUGAGGGACAAUAUGGAUGUGCAGGCUCAUAGAAAAGAGAGAUUUGGAAUUAUAAAGGGUGGAGGUGAGGGGUAACCAUGGCAAACUGGAUAUAACAGAACCUUGAGCUUUCAAGGGGAGGGUAGAUGUUGGGCAUUCAAGAGUCUCAGUCAGCUCUGUAUCUUAACUUAUAUAGUCUUAUAAUUAAUAUUUCUAUCCCAGCUUUGUGGACUGUUGCCUUGUGUGUGUGCACAUUUGUGUACAAAUUCCUGAUUUCUCACCUUGCCCUUUGUUUUUUUUCAUGAGUAAGUCUUGCGAUAACCAGCAAAUCAAAGACAAAGCCUUGACAUGGUGAUUCUUGGUGACUAGAAUCAAAAUAACAUGAUAUUUGGGAUCACAGCAGAAGGCGAGAUGUAGCCUUAGCAACUGGACAUGACAUUAUCUUGGACGUUCAAGGUUAAUGCUUAGAGAAGCAGAGAAUCAGCAUCUGAACAACAACCAACUCAAGAAUGGUAUUGAGACAACCAGCAAAACAAACACAAAGCCUUGACAUGGUGCUUCUUGAUGACGAGAAUCAAAAUAAAGUGAUAUUUGGGAUCACAAGGAAGGCGAGAUGUAGCCUUAGCAACUGGACAUGACAUUAUCUUGGACUUUCAAGGCUACCCGGCUUACAUGACAAUGGAUCUCUGGUGUCUCUCCAGUUACCCUAGCUUCCAGCUUGCUGCCAUGCCUCUGGGAACUUCAAGGAAUCCCGUGGUGAAAUGAAAAUCGAAUAAUUAAGGACUCAGAAAUAAUCUAGGAACUAUUUUCAGAGGCUGCAGCAUAUAACAAUGAGGAACUCUACAGAAGAUCAGGAAUAAAAGGUAUCAUUAAGGAAACCCAAGAGGAGAAGGAGACAGGCUGACCACCUGGAGAAGGUUGGUGGGGGAGUGAUGGGACACAUUGGGAAUCCUCUGCUGGGAUUGCCUCAGUGGGAGGAGAAAAUGAAGAAAACAUCUAGCACAUUGAGAACCCCAAGGGUAUACUAGAGCCUGCCUCAGCCACCUUGGGACAGAUUUUUCAGUGAGAACAUUUACACCUCUGAAGUCAGCAAAAUUGAGGCUUCAUGUUCUGUUGACUUAUACUUUAAAAGUGUUAAUUGGGCAGAUUAAUUUUUUUAAAAACCCUCACCUUCCAUCUUAGAAUCAAUAUUAUGUAUUGGUUCCAAGGCAGAAGAGUGGUAAGGGCUAGGCCAGUACUGGUGAACCUUAUGGCAUGAUUGCCAAAGAUGGCAUGCAGAGCAAUCUCUGUAGGCAUGAGGCUGCUUCCUCCCCUUCUCCAGAGUUCGUCACUAGAAUGGCCGAGACUCGGGCAGAGCUGCUCCUUACCCCCUCUCCACUGUUCCUGUUGACAUUUUUCACAUCCCUCGCCACUCUUCCCAGCAGCCCAAUGGGAGCACACAGGGGGUAAGUUGGAUGGCUCACCGGAGGCAGAGCUCUUGGGCCACUCCCCCACCCCUACACUCACUGAGAACAUUCCUCACUUCAACUGCCCCUCUAUCCAGUAGCCCAAUGGGAGCACUUUCUCCCUCUCCUGUGUGGGGUAAGGGGGGUGGGAUGCACUCAAUAUGUGUGUGGGAGGGGCAGGGCACUCAGUAUUAGGGGUGGGGUCAGGGCAUGGCAGUGUCUCUAAAAGAUUCAUCAUCACUGGGCUAGGCAGUCAAGGUUAAAUGACUUGCCCAGGGUCAUGCAGCUGGGAUAUUUGAACCCAGGACCUCCCAUCUCUAAGCCUGGCCCUCUAUCCACUGAGCCAACUAGCUGCCCCCUAGCAGAUUAAAUUUAAAAGUUUCAUGUAAUGUUUUUCAAGGAGCCUGGUUGUUAAACAUUUAUCAGCAUAUCACUGGAUGGCCCUUUGUAGUCAACUUAUGGGAAGCCAUGCAAAAGUCAUACAAAAUGAGCAGGUAAAGAUGGAUUGUGAUCUCCAUUGUCAGAGAGAACAUCCCAGUAUUUGAAUAUUGGGAGUCCUUUCCUUGAGAAGCCCUAAAUGACAGUGUGUGUGUGUGUGUGUGUGUGUGUGUGUACGCUGGGGGGGGCAGGGAAGGGAGGUACUGGGUGGAUGGCAGAACUGAUGCCAGAUUUUGGCAAAGGAGAAAUUGACACCCAAGAGAGCUUCCCAACCUUGACGGUGAGCUGUGAAUCAUUCCAAUUUGAAGACUGAGUAGGCUCAGCUUGGGUAGACACAGGAUGCUGUCAUUCAGGUGGCUGAUCUCUCCCGCCCCCAUCCUUCUCUUUAUCUUCACUGUGCCUCACUUUCUCCAUUUGCACAUGAGACUAAUACCGUACACCUCCUACAUGCCUCAGCUGCUGUUAAGGUUAGUGUUUAUAAAGACUUUGGCAGGGGAUUGUGUACUAUCUAACAAGAUGGAAACCUGUGAACUUUCAGGGUUAAGUAUCUUCAUUCUCCAACUCCUCUUCAGCAUCUCAAUAAACCCCAACACAAAACAGUCUUUUCCGGUCACAAACCAGAAUGUGUGCUAGGAGAAUAUCUGCCUUGGCCUCUGCAGGCCCUCAGUCCCACCAGAACUCCCGUUCUUACAAGAAGCAGCAGAGGAAGGAGCCAUUGAAGGGGUUAGAUAAGGCCUCCUAUCACUGUGACUUCCCUGGGCUAUUUAAAGAGGCUCUAGUUUUGUCAGGAGGUCAAAGAGAAUAUGCAGAUGAUCCUAAAGAACAAUUGAGGCCCAUGUUCAGUGCUUAAACUCGAGGGUCGGGCAUGCAGUGAAAGAGCUAUUAAUCGUCUAAGAGAGUGGCUUUUUUUUUUCCUGGAGGGCUCGCUGCAAAACUGUCUCAAAAUGAUUACAUCAUAAGAAAUGACCAACAUCAGGAAUUUGUAGAAAUCCCAGAAGACUUGUAUGAACUGAUACAGAGUAAACUCUGUAGAAUCAGCAGAAUGUUUACAUACACAGACUCAUGAGAAUGAUUACGGUAACUUGGUAAUUCUUGGCCCCAGAGAAGAGAGAAAGAAGUAUGUAUGUGCCAACUUUUUUGUAGACUGUGUGCGUGUGUGCGUGUGUGCGUGUGUGUGUGCGUGCGUGCGUGUGUGUUGGGGAGGGACGUUACAGUUGUAUAUUAUAAUUCUUCCAGAG